rnacentral:rRNA from 1 species
GACGAACGCUGGCGGCGUGCCUAACACAUGCAAGUCGAGCGAUGAAGCUUCCUUCGGGAAGUGGAUUAGCGGCGGACGGGUGAGUAACACGUGGGUAACCUGCCUCAAAGAGGGGAAUAGCCCUCCGAAAGGAGGAGUAAUACCGCAUAACAUAUUUUAAUCGCAUGAUUAAAAUAUCAAAGAUUUAUCACUUUGAGAUGGACCCGCGUCGCAUUAGCUAGUUGGUAAGGUAACGGCUUACCAAGGCGACGAUGCGUAGCCGACCUGAGAGGGUGAUCGGCCACAUUGGGACUGAGACACGGCCCAGACUCCUACGGGAGGCAGCAGUGGGGAAUAUUGCGCAAUGGGGGAAACCCUGACGCAGCAACGCCGCGUGGGUGAUGAAGGUUUUCGGAUUGUAAAGCCCUGUUCUAUGGGACGAUAAUGACGGUACCAUAGGAGAAAGCCACGGCUAACUACGUG